AAGAGGAAGUAAAAGUCGUAACAAGGUUUCCGUAGGUGAACCUGCGGAAGGAUCAUUAAUGCAAAAAAAGAGGAGGGUUUGUUGCUGGCUUUUUUUUGGAGCAUGUGCACACCUUCUCAAAUCUUUCUCAUUUAUCACCUGUGCACUUUUGUAGACCCUGCCUUGGGGGUUUGCUGGCCUUCUUUGUUAGGUUGGCUUCCCUUGCUCUUUUGGUGUCUAUGUAUUUUUCUUAAACAACAGUUUUGAAUGUCAUUAUUCUAAGAGCUUUAUGUUCUUUUGAAAUCUAUACAACUUUCAACAACGGAUCUCUUGGCUCUCGCAUCGAUGAAGAACGCAGCGAAAUGCGAUAAGUAAUGUGAAUUGCAGAAUUCAGUGAAUCAUCGAAUCUUUGAACGCACCUUGCGCUCCUUGGUAUUCCGAGGAGCAUGCCUGUUUGAGUGUCAUUGAAUUCUCAACUGCUCUCAGCUUUCAUGAGCUGGCAGUGGUUUGGAUUGUGGGGGCUCUGCGGGCUUUUUCGAAAGAAAAAGUCGGCUCUCCUUAAAGGCAUUAGCAGAGGGAACCUCUCCUGCUGACUAUCUUUGGUGUGAUAAGAAACUAUUUAUGCCAUGCAGUCAACUGAGGAACUCUGCUUCUUAAAUUGUCCUUUGGACAUGCGUGUCUCUUUGACAUUUUUGGCCUCAAAUCAGGUAGGACUACCCGCUGAACUUAAGCAUAUCAAUAAGCGGAGGAA
rnacentral:rRNA from 1 species